rnacentral:tRNA from 1 species
GGGCCGUUGGAGCAAGCUGGCAGCUCACCUGGUUCUCAGCCAGGAGAUUACGGGUUCGAGCCCCGUACGGCCUA